rnacentral:rRNA from 1 species
UNAUANGUAGGUGCGAGCNUGUCCGNAUUACUGGCGUAANAGUUGUAGUGGUUUGUCGCNUNUUUNUGAANUUCGGGGCUUAACCUNNGGGCGUGCAGGCGAUACGGGCAAUACNUGAGUGCUGUANGGGAGACUGGAAUUCCUGGUGUAGCGGUGAAAUGCGCAGAUAUCAGGAGGAACACCGAUGGCGAAGGCAGGUCUCUGGGCAGUAACUGACGCUGAGGAGCGAAAGCAUGGGUAGCGAACAGGAUUAGAUACCCUGGUAGUCCAUGCCGUAAACGGUGGGCGCUAGGUGUAGGGGUCUUCCACGACUUCUGUGCCGUAGCUAACGCAUUAAGCGCCCCGCCUGGGGAGUACGGCCGCAAGGCUAAAACUCAAAGGAAUUGACGGGGGCCCGCACAAGCGGCGGAGCAUGUGGAUUAAUUCG